AUUGAACGCUGGCGGAAUGCUUUACACAUGCAAGUCGAGCGGCAGCGCGGGGGCAACCCUGGCGGCGAGCGGCGAACGGGUGAGUAACAUAUCGGAACGUACCCGUCGUGGGGAGUAACACAGCGAAAGCUGUGCUAAUACCGCAUACGACCUGAGGGUGAAAGCGGGGGAGUCGCAAGACCUCGCGCGAUGGGAGCGGCCGAUAUCGGAUUAGCUUGUUGGUGAGGUAAAGGCUCACCAAGGCGACGAUCCGUAGCUGGUCUGAGAGGACGACCAGCCACACUGGAACUGAGACACGGUCCAGACUCCUACGGGAGGCAGCAGUGGGGAAUUUUGGACAAUGGGCGCAAGCCUGAUCCAGCAAUACCGCGUGUGUGAAGAAGGCCUUAGGGUUGUAAAGCACUUUCAAUUGGGGAGGAAAAACCUGCCGGUCAAUACCCGGUAGCUUGACAUUACCUUUAGAAGAAGCACCGGCUAACUCCGUGCCAGCAGCCGCGGUAU
rnacentral:rRNA from 1 species